UUACAUUCAUAUGUCUGGUGACUAUAGCAAGGAGGUCACACCUGUUCCCAAGAAGGCACACCCGGAGAACUGAAACAUCUUAGUACCCGGAGGAAGAGAAAGAAAAUUCGAUUCCCUUAGUAGCGGCGAGCGAAACGGGAAGAGCCCAAACCAAGAAGCUUGCUUGUUGGGGUUGUAGGACACUCUAUACGGAGUUACAAAGGACGACAUUAGACGAAUCAUCUGGAAAGAUGAAUCAAAGAAGGUAAUAAUCCUGUAGUCGAAAAUGUUGUCUCUCUUGAGUGGAUCCUGAGUACGACGGAGCACGUGAAAUUCCGUCGGAAUCUGGGAGGACCAUCUCCUAAGGCUAAAUACUCUCUAGUGACCGAUAGUGAACCAGUACCGUGAGGGAAAGGUGAAAAGCACCCCGGAAGGGGAGUGAAAUAGAACCUGAAACCGUGUGCUUACAAGUAGUCAGAGCCCGUUAAUGGGUGAUGGCGUGCCUUUUGUAGAAUGAACCGGCGAGUUACGAUUUGAUGCAAGGUUAAGCAGUAAAUGUGGAGCCGUAGCGAAAGCGAGUCUGAAUAGGGCGUUUAGUAUUUGGUCGUAGACCCGAAACCAGGUGAUCUACCCUUGGUCAGGUUGAAGUUCAGGUAACACUGAAUGGAGGACCGAACCGACUUACGUUGAAAAGUGAGCGGAUGAACUGAGGGUAGCGGAGAAAUUCCAAUCGAACCUGGAGAUAGCUGGUUCUCUCCGAAAUAGCUUUAGGGCUAGCCUCAAGUGAUGAUUAUUGGAGGUAGAGCACUGUUUGGACGAGGGGCCCCUCUCGGGUUACCGAAUUCAGACAAACUCCGAAUGCCAAUUAAUUUAACUUGGGAGUCAGAACAUGGGUGAUAAGGUCCGUGUUCGAAAGGGAAACAGCCCAGACCACCAGCUAAGGUCCCAAAAUAUAUGUUAAGUGGAAAAGGAUGUGGCGUUGCCCAGACAACUAGGAUGUUGGCUUAGAAGCAGCCAUCAUUUAAAGAGUGCGUAAUAGCUCACUAGUCGAGUGACACUGCGCCGAAAAUGUACCGGGGCUAAACAUAUUACCGAAGCUGUGGAUUGUCCUUUGGACAAUGGUAGGAGAGCGUUCUAAGGGCGUUGAAGCAUGAUCGUAAGGACAUGUGGAGCGCUUAGAAGUGAGAAUGCCGGUGUGAGUAGCGAAAGACGGGUGAGAAUCCCGUCCACCGAUUGACUAAGGUUUCCAGAGGAAGGCUCGUCCGCUCUGGGUUAGUCGGGUCCUAAGCUGAGGCCGACAGGCGUAGGCGAUGGAUAACAGGUUGAUAUUCCUGUACCACCUAUAAUCGUUUUAAUCGAUGGGGGGACGCAGUAGGAUAGGCGAAGCGUGCGAUUGGAUUGCACGUCUAAGCAGUAAGGCUGAGUAUUAGGCAAAUCCGGUACUCGUUAAGGCUGAGCUGUGAUGGGGAGAAGACAUUGAGUCUUCGAGUCGUUGAUUUCACACUGCCGAGAAAAGCCUCUAGAUAGAAAAUAGGUGCCCGUACCGCAAACCGACACAGGUAGUCAAGAUGAGAAUUCUAAGGUGAGCGAGCGAACUCUCGUUAAGGAACUCGGCAAAAUGACCCCGUAACUUCGGGAGAAGGGGUGCUCUUUAGGGUUAACGCCCAGAAGAGCCGCAGUGAAUAGGCCCAAGCGACUGUUUAUCAAAAACACAGGUCUCUGCUAAACCGUAAGGUGAUGUAUAGGGGCUGACGCCUGCCCGGUGCUGGAAGGUUAAGAGGAGUGGUUAGCUUCUGCGAAGCUACGAAUCGAAGCCCCAGUAAACGGCGGCCGUAACUAUAACGGUCCUAAGGUAGCGAAAUUCCUUGUCGGGUAAGUUCCGACCCGCACGAAAGGCGUAACGAUUUGGGCACUGUCUCAACGAGAGACUCGGUGAAAUCAUAGUACCUGUGAAGAUGCAGGUUACCCGCGACAGGACGGAAAGACCCCGUGGAGCUUUACUGUAGCCUGAUAUUGAAAUUCGGCACAGCUUGUACAGGAUAGGUAGGAGCCUUUGAAACGUGAGCGCUAGCUUACGUGGAGGCGCUGGUGGGAUACUACCCUAGCUGUGUUGGCUUUCUAACCCGCACCACUUAUCGUGGUGGGAGACAGUGUCAAGCGGGCAGUUUGACUGGGGCGGUCGCCUCCUAAAAGGUAACGGAGGCGCUCAAAGGUUCCCUCAGAAUGGUUGGAAAUCAUUCAUAGAGUGUAAAGGCAUAAGGGAGCUUGACUGCGAGACCUACAAGUCGAGCAGGGUCGAAAGACGGACUUAGUGAUCCGGUGGUUCCGCAUGGAAGGGCCAUCGCUCAACGGAUAAAAGCUACCCCGGGGAUAACAGGCUUAUCUCCCCCAAGAGUUCACAUCGACGGGGAGGUUUGGCACCUCGAUGUCGGCUCAUCGCAUCCUGGGGCUGUAGUCGGUCCCAAGGGUUGGGCUGUUCGCCCAUUAAAGCGGUACGCGAGCUGGGUUCAGAACGUCGUGAGACAGUUCGGUCCCUAUCCGUCGUGGGCGUAGGAAAUUUGAGAGGAGCUGUCCUUAGUACGAGAGGACCGGGAUGGACAUACCUCUGGUGUACCAGUUGUCGUGCCAACGGCAUAGCUGGGUAGCUAUGUGUGGACGGGAUAAGUGCUGAAAGCAUCUAAGCAUGAAGCCCCCCUCAAGAUGAGAUUUCCCAACUUCGGUUAUAAGAUCCCUCAAAGAUGAUGAGGUUAAUAGGUUCGAGGUGGAAGCAUGGUGACAUGUGGAGCUGACGAAUACUAAUCGAUCGAAGACUUAAUCAA
rnacentral:rRNA from 1 species